UACGGAGGGUGCGAGCGUUAUUCGGAAUUACUGGGCGUAAAGCGCGUGUAGGCGGGGAGGCAAGUCUGAUGUGAAAGCCCCGGGCUUAACCUGGGAAGUGCAUUGGAAACUGCUUUUCUUGAGUGCUGGAGAGGAAGGGGGAAUUCCCGGUGUAGAGGUGAAAUUCGUAGAGAUCGGGAGGAAUACCAGUGGCGAAGGCGCCCUUCUGGACGGCAACUGACGCUGAGACGCGAAAGCGUGGGGAGUAAACAGG
rnacentral:rRNA from 1 species